UGUUACAAUGGGGGGUACAGAAGGCAGCUACACGGCGACGUGAUGCUAAUCCCCAAAACCUCUCUCAGUUCGGAUUGGAGUCUGCAACCCGACUCCAUGAAGCUGGAUUCGCUAGUAAUCGCGCAUCAGCCACGGCGCGGUGAAUACGUUCCCGGGCCUUGUACACACCGCCCGUCAAGCCAUGAAAGCCGGGGGUACCUGAAGUCCGUAACCGUAAGGAGCGGCCUAGGGUAAAACUGGUAAUUGGGGCUAAGUCGUAACAAGGUACC
rnacentral:rRNA from 1 species